GUGUUCACAGCUUGGUGGACUUGAUCCAAUUUUGUUCAAUCCUUUAGAACAUGCCUCUUUAUUGAAUCCUGCCACUUCUCCCAUGCCUUCAAUAUCCUGUUUAGACCCCAUCUGGGAGCCUGAGUUUGAGCCUAAAAGAACUUGUAAAGACUCUGAACUCUGGCCUGGUUGAUUGACACCAACAACAUCAUUAGAUGCAAAAGGCCUGCUUGUUCCAGAAACAAAGCUCACUAUUUGCAGUGCUAAUACAAAACAACAAAGUGUUGCCUCCAUUUGCAUAGAACCUCCAGUGAUGAUGGCGACUAUGAUGAUUUUGAAAGAGAAAGAGGGAAGCUUUUGAUCACUCACACACUUAGGGUGGCCACGUAUGAGCUCUGCUGGGAUAUAUGGCGGUAGGAAAAUCCUAACAAAUUCAGUCCCGUUUCCCAAAAAGCAACCCACAGAA
rnacentral:misc_RNA from 1 species